UCCCAGAAGGGGGGCAGGGAGAGGGGGGACCACAGUGAAUCUUGGGCAGAGCCCUCUGCUGGGGAGAGGCGCCCCCUGACCCACUUUUCGUGCAGUCCCCUUCCCUGGGGUCGUCGCCCCACCCUGGGUGGUAAUGCUAACCGGGAGGGCUGCACCGCGCGCGGCGUGGGAGGCCGCCCGCUCCCCACCCUAAGCCGCGACCCUGGGGCGCGGGGCGUGCGGGGACCCCGGGUCGGCCCGUGCCGGAGCAGCCUCGCGCGGGCUCCCGGGUCCCCCCGAACCUCGGGCGUAUGCAAGACCCCCCCGGGCCACCGCCUGGGCCCCGGGCACCUUAGCCCCCCAGCGGAGAGAAAAGGAUAUUGAGGAGGGGAAGAAGCAGUAAACAGCUCCAGCGUCCGGGCCUCGCCUCUGAGAGAGCCCCGCUCCCCAGGCCCUGCCGCCGGCCGUCGGGACCCCCCACUGUCCCCGGGGCCGCGCUGUCCCGGACCCGGAGCACCCGAGGAGAGUCCAGGCCUCUCCCCGGAUGGCUCUGGAGGCUCCUGAAGCGACCCGGGCAGCGGAGAACGGGGAAGUCAGGACUUACCUGUCAUUACUUUCUACGCCAUCUUGGAUCCACUUGUCAACGUCCCCACAAAGCAUUAUGGGCGGCGACCCCAGGCGGCGGGACAAGGUAGAGGGCGGGCGCCACGCUGGCUCCGGGCAGAGAGAGGAGGGGGUUGUCCAGAGUGGCUUGGAGGCGACCAGGACGCAGGAAGUAGGAGGCGACCGUGUGCCGGCAACAGACCUUUGCGAGCAUCCCGCGGGCAUCUGCUUUCUGGUUGCAAGACCAGCCCCGCGCUUUCCCCGCCCCUCCCGUUUGCUUCAGGCGAGCGACACCUAGCUCAGGGUCAGCAUUGCUGAGUUUGAGAACCUCUAGAUGCUCGCCUGCCCGGAGCAAGAUUUGUGUCCAAGAGAAAAUGCUCCGAGACUUCCGGGUAGAUCCUGUUGUUUAGCUUUAGCGAGGGUUUAAUCCUCAGUAAUAAAUAAAUAGAUAAAUAAAUAUCCCUAACACACCAAAGCUUGAGAA